rnacentral:rRNA from 1 species
UGGGGAAUUUUGGACAAUGGGCGCAAGCCUGAUCCAGCCAUGCCGCGUGCGGGAAGAAGGCCUUCGGGUUGUAAACCGCUUUUGUCAGGGAAGAAAUCUUCUGAGUUAAUACCUCGGGGGGAUGACGGUACCUGAAGAAUAAGCACCGGCUAACUACGUGCCAGCAGCCGCGGUAAUACGUAGGGUGCAAGCGUUAAUCGGAAUUACUGGGCGUAAAGCGUGCGCAGGCGGUUUUGUAAGACAGAGGUGAAAUCCCCGGGCUCAACCUGGGAACUGCCUUUGUGACUGCAAGGCUUGAGUGCGGCAGAGGGGGAUGGAAUUCCGCGUGUAGCAGUGAAAUGCGUAGAUAUGCGGAGGAACACCGAUGGCGAAGGCAAUCCCCUGGGCCUGCACUGACGCUCAUGCACGAAAGCGUGGGGAGCAAACAGGAUUAGAUACCCUGGUAGUCCACGCCCUAAACGAUGUCAACUGGUUGUUGGGGAAGGUUCCUUCUCAGUAACGUAGCUAACGCGUGAAGUUGACCGCCUGGGGAGUACGGCCGCAAGGUUGAAACUUAAAGGAAUUGACGGGGUCAU